UAAAAAGCUAUGAAGAGGACAGUAAUAAUAGAAAAUAGUUUUUAGAGAGAUAAUCAUAUGGUGAAAGAUUAUCAACUAUACUAUUAUGAACAUCACCUUAGAGCCUGCUACUUGAAGGGGAGUAGAGUAGCACGUAGAGAUACGUUAAAGUGUAAUGAGAAAUAGAAGUCGUUCUGUGUACUUCUAUAAAAUGGGUGGUAACACGAUAUACUCGUCCCUAAG
rnacentral:ncRNA from 1 species